GUUUGUGGUCCAGGCAUGGACUCCAAAUGCCCUAUCUGAUUUUGUCAUCCUUUUCUGCCUAAGGGAUGGAUCCGUUCUCCACAUCAAAGCCCUGCAACAAGACCGAGCCUCCUGUUCCAGAGCUGCCACUGACCUGAAGUUGGAUUUUUGUGUGCUCUGCAUGAGAAUCAACCUCUCAAAUCAGGAUAUCUAUGGACAACCUAGGAUGUAGGAAGCCCUGGGUUAGCACUGAGGAUUGUAUGAGCAAGAGAGACCACGCUGGCCUGGGAAAAUUCCUUUUUGCCAACCGCUGUGAACCUGAGGUCUGCUUGAUGGUCAACCUUUCUCCUCGAACUUCUUCCCUCUGUGUAUCUCAACCAGUGACACCACGGCUUUCCUGUCUCUCCUGUGUUCCUGGAAGCUUGAAUUAUGAACACAGAAUAGAGAAGACCAUUUAUGUAUGAGGUGUCAGAGUGCAUUCUACUGUCAUGUAUAACUAAUUAGAACAACAACAACAAAAAGAAUAUAGGACAGGAAUGAACACAGAAACAGGCCUGUUAAUCCCUUCCUUCCUGCAUAUUCUAAGGUACUUACACUCUAGGCUAUUCUAAGCACUGAGCCACCAACUAGCAUAUGUGUACUUCUGAGCCUUAAGGCAGUUGACUCAGAAGCAAAUAUCUAAAACCCAACCUAUUUAUUUUAGGUUUACGAUUGGCUAUGAAACUUGUCCACCAUUUUAUCCCUUAUGUCUAAUUCUCUCCAGUAACCUUCAUGGCUAUUGAUUUCUCUUUUGAUAAUUGUCUUCUGAGAAAAAAAUUUAAGAUUUUGCUUACCUGAUUUUACUGCUGCUUUUAGUUCAAGAGUUUGCUACCUAACAUUAAUCACCUGACUUCCUUCAUUUCAUCUCUACAAUGAACUUCUGAAUUUAAUGUUACAAUUCUAUCAGAAGAAGAAACUAAAGCUCAAAGAGGAUGAGUAAUUUACAAAGGUCACAUCGCUUCUAAGAAAUGGAAGUAAUAUCAAGUCCCUCACGGAAG